UCUUAAUAAUAUACGCAGUUUUAAUGCGUGCUUUUUUUCAUUGCCAUUGGCCUUUUUUUCUUUUACAGCUAUAUCCCGAGGUUAACAUGAAAACAGGAAUGAAUUGCUCAUUAAUUCGUAGUAGACAGGAAUGCAUGUGGUUAAACAUUUAUAUUUGACUUUUUAUUAUUUCGUAUAUACAAUGCUUUUCAUGUACUUGCAUAUUUUUAGUUGUAAUGUACAUUUUAAUAUGUAAACCUUUUUCAAUUUUGAAUAAAUGAAAGUCUGUUGCUCAA